rnacentral:rRNA from 1 species
AGUGAACGCUGGCGGUAGGCCUAACACAUGCAAGUCGAACGGCAGCACAGUAAGAUCUUGCUCUUACGGGUGGCGAGUGGCGGACGGGUGAGGAAUACAUCGGAAUCUACUUUUUCGUGGGGGAUAACGUAGGGAAACUUACGCUAAUACCGCAUACGACCUACGGGUGAAAGCAGUGGAUCUUCGGACCUUGCGCGAUUGAAUUAGCCGAUGUCGGAUUAGCUAGUUGGCGGGGUAAAGGCCCACCAAGGCGACGAUGCGUAGCUGGUCUGAGAGGAUGAUCGGCCACACUGGAACUGAGACACGGUCCAGACUCCUACGGGAGGCAGCAGUAGGGAAUAUUGGACAAUGGGCGAAAGCCUGAUCCAGCCAUACCGCGUGGGUGAAGAAGGCCUUCGGGUUGUAAAGCCCUUUUGUUGGGAAAGAAAAGCAGCAGGUUAAUACCUCGCUGUUCUGACGGUACCCAAAGAAUAAGCACCGGCUAACUUCGUG